rnacentral:rRNA from 1 species
CCUACGGGGGGCAGCAGUGAGGAAUAUUGGUCAAUGGGCGCAAGCCUGAACCAGCCAAGUAGCGUGAAGGAUGACGGCCCUAUGGGUUGUAAACCUCUUUUAUAUGGGAAUAAAGUGCAGCACGUAUACUGCUUUGCAUGUACCUUAUGAAUAAGGAUCGGCUAACUCCGUGCCAGCAGCCGCGGUAAUGCGGAGGAUCCGAGCGUUAUCCGGAUUUAUUGGGUUUAAAGGGAGCGUAGGCGGGUUGUUAAGUCAGUUGUGAAAGUUUGCGGCUCAACCGUAACAUUGCAGUUGAUACUGGCAGCCUUGAGUACAGUAGAGGUAGGCGGAAUUCGUGGUGUAGCGGUGAAAUGCGUAGAUAUCACGAAGAACUCCGAUUGCGAAGGCAGCCUGCUGGACUGUAACUGACGCUGAUGCUCGAAAGUGUGGGUAUCAAACAGGAUUAGAUACCCCUGUAGUC